UGAAGACACCUGGUGCCACACUCUAAUCAGCUAAUUAACUCAAAACACCUGCAAAGGCCUUUAAAUGGUCUCUCAGUCUAGUUCUGUAGGCUACACAAUCAUGGGGAAGACUGCUGACUUGACAGUUGUCCAAAAGACGACCAUUGACACCUUGCACAAGGAGGGCAAGACACAAAAGGUCAUUGCAAAAGAGGCUGGCUGUUCACAGAGCUCUGUGUCCAAGCACAUUAAUAGAGAGGCGAAGGGAAGGAAAAGAUGUGGUAGAAAAAAAAGUGUACAAGCAAUAGGGAUAACCGCACCCUGGAGAGGAUUGUGAAACAAAACCCAUUCAAAAAUGUGGGGGAGAUUCACAAAGAGUGGACUGCAGCUGGAGUCAGUGCUUCAAGAACCACUACGCACAGACGUAUGCAAGACAUGAGUUUCAGCUGUCGCAUUCCUUGUGUCAAGCCACUCUUGAACAACAGACAGUGUCAGAAGCGUCUCGCCUGGGCUAAAGACAAAAAGGACUGGACUGCUGCUGAGUGGUUAUGUUCUCUGAUGAAAGUAAAUUUUGCAUUUCCUUUGGAAAUCAGGGUCCCAGAGUCUGGAGGAAGAGAGGAGAGGCACACAAUCCACGUUGCUUGAGGUCCAGUGUAAAGUUUCCACAGUCAGUGAUGGUUUGGGGUGCCAUGUCAUCUGCUGGUGUUGGUCCACUGUGUUUUCUGAGGUCCAAGGUCAACGCAGCCGUAUACCAGGAAGUUUUAGAACACUUUAUGCUUCCUGCUGCUGACCAACUUUAUGGAGAUGCAGAUUUCAUUUUCCAACAGGACUUGGCACCUGCGCACACAGUGCCAAAGCUACCAGUACCUGGUUUAAGGACCAUGGUAUCCCUGUUCUUAAUUGGCCAGCAAACUCGCCUGACCUUAACCCCAUAGAAAAUCUAUGGGGUAUUGUGAAGAGAAAGAUGUGAUAUGCCAGACCCAACAAUGCAGAAGAGCUGAAGGCCACUAUCAGAGCAACCUGGGCUUAUGUAACACCUGAGCAGUGCCACAGAUUGAUCGACUCCAUGCCACGCCGCAUUGCUGCAGUAAUUCAGGCAAAAGGAGCCCCAACUAAGUAUUGAGUGCUGUACAUGUUCAUACUUUUCAGUUGGCCAAAAUUUCUAAAAAUCCUUUUUGUAUUGGUCUUAAGUAAUAUUCUAAUUUUCUGAGAUACUGAAUUUGGGAUUUUCCUUAGCUGUCAGUUAUCAUCAAAAUUAAAAUAAAUAAAUAUUUGAAAUAUAUCAGUCUGUGUGUAAUGAAUCAAUAUAAUAUACAAGUUUCACUUUUUUGAUGAUAUUCUAAUUAUAUGACCAGCACCUGUAUAAAUCUCAGCUGCUUGAUAGUUUAUAUCAUUGCUGUAUGUAAACUACCCUGUCGCCCAGCUCUAAACUAACAAAUUUGUUCAACUAAGCAUUAAUGUAUCUGUAAAGCUGCUUUUAAACAAUGUAUAUUAUAAAAAGCACAGAAUUUAAGGAAAUCAAGGUCUUAUCAAUUACCUUCCAGCAUUCAUGGUAUCAUCAAGGCCACUUACAUAGUUUAUUAAAAACAAUUCUUGUGAACCGUAAGAUUUUUUUUAAGAUCAAUAGAAAUUAUACCAAUUAUGAUGGUCAACAGUAUGUUGUAUAUCACACAGUAAUAUAUAACUUUGACUUAAGAAAGGGACAAUCAAUUCUGUUCCUCGAAAUUGACAUCACUGCAGUUCAGCUCCAACCCUCAUCAAACGCACCAGAACCAGAUAACAUUUUCAGAAAUACUUGGGCUGCAUCCAAAAUCGCAUACUCUCUUGAAUAGGUACUUAUUUUGAAUAAGUAAUUUCUUUAUGACUGCUGAGAAAGUAUGUGCUAUAUAGUAUGAGCGUGUGUAAUAUUAAUGUACUGUUUUUUCACUUACUAUUAGGUAGGGAAGUAUGCAAUUUCAGAUGCAGCCUUGGUAAAUACCAAUUGGUGAGUUGGAGCAGGUUUGGCACUGAACUCAGGAGGAAGGUAGUUCUGUAGGAACAGAUUUAGGCACACUUGUUUCCUUCAGGAAAUCCUUUAAGUCAAAUGUAUGAACUUAUAAAUAGUAUUUUACUUCACACAACUCAACAUGUCUGACAAUUCCAUUUUUAUUCAAAGUGUCUGAUUAUAAAGAAAGUACAUGUGGGUUUUAUGAGCUACACAAACAAAAUUUUUCAGGGAAGUCAUUUAUCAACACAUGGAGCUCAACUAAUCAAACACUCAAACUUCAGUUUUAUCAAAUGAAAGCUACUCAUCAAAGCAUUCUACAGGGAUCAUUUCACAUGAUAUGAGUCUUUUAACAGUCACUUUCAAAAAGCAGCUAUUUAGACACUGAUGUAUAAAGUUAACUACAUGUGGAAAAAAUAAUUCAAACAAAAUCUAAAAAUCAUAUUUUCACAAAAUUAUGGCAAAGAGCUUUUGUACAGGUUAAAGGUACAUUACAAAAAUUUAACACUAAUCUUUGUUUCUGAAACUUUUUAAAAAGGACUAAUGCACAGAA